AUUGAACGCUGGCGGCAUGCUUUACACAUGCAGGUCGAACGGUAACAGGCCGCAAGGUGCUGACGAGUGGCGAACGGGUGGGUAAUGCAUCGGAACGUGCCCAGUCAUGGGGGAUAACGCAGCGAAAGCUGCGCUAAUACCGCAUACGAUCUAUGGAUGAAAGCGGGGGACCGUAAGGCCUCGCGCGAUUGGAGCGGCCGAUGUCAGAUUAGGUAGUUGGUGGGGUAAAGGCUCACCAAGCCGACGAUCUGUAGCUGGUCUGAGAGGACGACCAGACACAGUGGGACUGGAACACGGCCCAGACACCUACGGGAGGCAGCAGUGGGGAAUUGUGGAAAAUGGGCGCAAGCCUGAUCCAGCAAUGCCGCGUGCAGGAAGAAGGCCUUCGGGUUGUAAACUGCUUUUGACCGAGAUGAAUUCCCGCCGACCUAACACGUCGGCGGGGUGACAGUAUCGAGGGAAGCAGCCCCGGCUAACUCCGUGCCAGCAGCCGCCGUAAGAC
rnacentral:rRNA from 1 species